rnacentral:rRNA from 1 species
CAGGCUGCAACUCGCCUGCAUGAAGUCGGAAUUGCUAGUAAUCGUAGGUCAGCAUACUACGGUGAAUACGUUCCCGGGCCUUGUACACACCGCCCGUCAAACCAUGAGAGUUGGCAACACCCGAAGUCGGUAGUCUAACCGCAAGGAGGACGCCGCCGAAGGUGGGGUUGAUGAUUAGGGUUAAGUCGUAACAAGGUAGC